UACGUAGGGUGCGAGCGUUGUCCGGAAUUAUUGGGCGUAAAGGGCUCGUAGGCGGUUUGUCGCGUCGGGAGUGAAAACCAGGUGCUUAACACCUGGCUUGCUUUCGAUACGGGCAGACUAGAGGUAUUCAGGGGAGAACGGAAUUCCUGGUGUAGCGGUGAAACGCGCAGAUAUCAGGAGGAACACCGGUGGCGAAGGCGGUUCUCUGGGAAUGACCUGACGCUGAGGAGCGAAAGUGUGGGGAGCGAACAGG
rnacentral:rRNA from 1 species